AUCCUUUUAUAGCUCAUGAGCAUGAUGAUUGGGUGUUCACACUGUUGCGUGAGAUGUGCCUCCCAAAAACCUUGUUAUGAUGUUGGCACAUUACCAGUCUGACA